rnacentral:rRNA from 1 species
CGGACGGGUGAGUAAUGCUUGGGAAUCUGGCUUAUGGAGGGGGAUAACUACGGGAAACUGUAGCUAAUACCGCGUAGUAUCGAGAGAUGAAAGACUGGGACCGCAAGGCCAGUUGCCAUAAGAUGAGCCCAAGUGGGAUUAGGUAGUUGGUGGGGUAAAGGCCUACCAAGCCGACGAUCUCUAGCUGGUCUGAGAGGAUGACCAGCCACACUGGAACUGAGACACGGUCCAGACUCCUACGGGAGGCAGCAGUGGGGAAUAUUGCACAAUGGGGGGAACCCUGAUGCAGCCAUGCCGCGUGAAUGAAGAAGGCCUUCGGGUUGUAAAGUUCUUUCGGUGAUGAGGAAGGGUAGUGUUUUAAUAGAACAUUACAUUGACGUUAGUCACAGAAGAAGCACCGGCUAACUCCGUGCCAGCAGCCGCGGUAAUACGGAGGGUGCGAGCGUUAAUCGGAAUGGC